UUUGAUCCUGGCUCAGAUUGAACGCUGGCGGCAGGCCUAACACAUGCAAGUCGAGCGGUAGCACAGAGGGAGCUUGCUCUCGGGUGACGAGGCGGCGGACGGGUGAGUAAUGUCUGGGAAACUGCCUGAUGGAGGGGAUAACUACUGGAAACGGUAGCUAAUACCGCAUAACGUCGCAAGACCAAAGUGGGGGACCUUCGGGCCUCAUGCCAUCAGAUGUGCCCAGAUGGGAUUAGCAGUAGGUGGGGUAACGGCUCACCUAGGCGACGAUCCCUAGCCUGGUCUGAGAGGAUGACCAGCCACACUGGAACUGAGACACGGUCCAGACUCCUACGGGAGGCAGCAGUGGGGAAUAUUGCACAAUGGGCGCAAGCCUGAUGCAGCCAUGCCGCGUGUGUGAAGAAGGCCUUCGGGUUGUAAAGCACUUUCAGCGGGGAGGAAGGCGAUAAGGUUUAAUAACCUUGGCGAUUGACGUUACCCGCAGAAAAGCACCGGCUAACUCCGUGCCAGCAGCCGCGGUAAUACGGAGGGUGCAAGCGUUAAUCGGAAUUACUGGGCGUAAAGCGCACGCAGGCGGUCUGUCAAGUCGGAUGUGAAAUCCCCGGGCUCAACCUGGGAACUGCAUUCGAAACUGGCAGGCUAGAGUCUUGUAGAGGGGGGUAGAAUUCCAGGUGUAGCGGUGAAAUGCGUAGAGAUCUGGAGGAAUACCGGUGGCGAAGGCGGCCCCCUGGACAAAGACUGACGCUCAGGUGCGAAAGCGUGGGGAGCAAACAGGAUUAGAUACCCUGGUAGUCCACGCCGUAAACGAUGUCGAUUUGGAGGUUGUGCCCUUGAGGUGUGGCUUCCGGAGCUAACGCGUUAAAUCGACCGCCUGGGGAGUACGGCCGCAAGGUUAAAACUCAAAUGAAUUGACGGGGGCCCGCACAAGCGGUGGAGCAUGUGGUUAAUUCGAUGCAACGGGAGACUUACUGUUUUGACAUCCACAGAAUUUCCAGAGAUGGAUUGGUGCCUUCGGGAACUGUGAGACAGGUGAUGCAUGGCUGUCGUCAGCUCGUGUUGUGAAAUUUGGGUUAAGUCCCGCAACGAGCGCAACCCUUAUCCUUUGUUGCCAGCGGUUUCGGCCGGGAACUCAAAGGAGAUUGCCAGUGAUAAACUGGAAGGAAGGUGGGGAUGACGUCAAGUCACAUGGCCCUUACGACCAGGGCUACACACGUGCUACAAUGGCAUAUACAAAGAGAAGCGACCUCGCGAGAGCAAGCGGACCUCAUAAAGUAUGUCGUAGUCCGAAUUGGGUUUGCAACUCGACUCCAUGAAGUCGGAAUCGCUUAGUACUCGUAGAUCAGAAUGCCUACGGUGAAUACGUUC
rnacentral:rRNA from 1 species